rnacentral:rRNA from 1 species
ACGGAAGGCAGCAGUGGGGAAUAUUGCACAAUGGGGGAAACCCUGAUGCAGCGACGCCGCGUGAGUGAAGAAGUAUUUCGGUAUGUAAAGCUCUAUCAGCAGGGAAGAAAAUGACGGUACCUGACUAAGAAGCCCCGGCUAACUACGUGCCAGCAGCCGCGGUAAUACGUAGGGGGCAAGCGUUAUCCGGAUUUACUGGGUGUAAAGGGAGCGCAGACGGCAUGGCAAGCCAGAUGUGAAAGGCAGGGGCUCAACUCCUGGACUGCAUUUGGAACUGUCAAGCUAGAGUAUCGGAGAGGUAAGUGGAAUUCCUAGUGUAGCGGUGAAAUGCGUAGAUAUUAGGAGGAACACCAGUGGCGAAGGCGGCUUACUGGACGAUAACUGACGUUGAGGCUCGAAAGCGUGGGGAGCAAACAGGAUUAGAUACCCUGGUA